rnacentral:lncRNA from 1 species
GUUAGCCCCCCUUAACUCCUCCAUAGUGUUAUGACAAGAACUGAAAUUACUUUCAAGACACAGAUUUUAAGGAAGGACAGAGAUAAUGUUUCAUGUAAAAUGAGAGUAAAUGAACAGAAUGGGAAAGUAACCAAAGAACUAGAUCCCUCAUAAGUCUGUCUGUCUGUCCUAUCUGCUACUGAAUGUGGAGGUCUCUCAACUCUGGUUUCCAGCCCCUCACAGCUGAGGAGGUGCCUCUGUUAAACUCUUGUCUGCAUCUUCACAGAAUGGUGUGUCGCUGACUACCUGUGUGAUUUCGGGGAUGAGGCAGAUAAAACUGAAACUGAUCAAGUGGGUUGAUCACUGGGUAAUGACGACGUUGCUGUUGACUGUCAGGGUUCUCCCCAUGGUCGCUGUGGUUUGGCAAGAUGAGAAUGGUCUCGAGAAGAAAGCACCUAGCACUGCAUGAACAGCACUGCAGGGAGGUCACUGACUGCAAAAGGAGCCACAAAGUUUCAGGAGCCUUUGAGCUGAUGUGCACAUAGCCACUGCUUCCAGUUAAAAACAAAGACAGAAAACAAAAGGAAAAAAA